rnacentral:ncRNA from 1 species
UAUCUUCGGGGUUAGGUGAAAGUCCUGACCGGCAGUAUAGCCUGCGAGCCUUAUGGGUUGAUUCGGUGAGAUUCCGAAGCCGACGGUAAAGUCCGGAUGAAAGAAGAUA